UACAGAGGUCCCAAGCGUUGUUCGGAUUUACUGGGCGUAAAGGGUGCGUAGGCGGUUGGGUAAGUCUGACGUGAAAUCUCCGGGCCUAACCCGGAAACUGCGUUGGAUACUAUCCGGCUAGAGGAAUGGAGGGGAGACUGGAAUACUUGGUGUAGCAGUGAAAUGCGUAGAUAUCAAGUGGAACACCAGUGGCGAAGGCGAGUCUCUGGACAUUUCCUGACGCUGAGGCGCGAAAGCCAGGGGAGCAAACGGG
rnacentral:rRNA from 1 species